rnacentral:rRNA from 1 species
GAGUGGCGAACGGGUGAGUAAUGUAUCGGAACGUACCCAGUAGCGGGGGAUAACUACGCGAAAGCGUGGCUAAUACCGCAUACGCCCUUUGGGGGAAAGCGGGGGACCUUCGGGCCUCGCACUAUUGGAGCGGCCGAUAUCGGAUUAGCUAGUUGGUGAGGUAAAGGCUCACCAAGGCGACGAUCCGUAGCUGGUUUGAGAGGACGACCAGCCACACUGGGACUGAGACACGGCCCAGACUCCUACGGGAGGCAGCAGUGGGGAAUUUUGGACAAUGGGGGCAACCCUGAUCCAGCCAUCCCGCGUGUGCGAUGAAGGCCUUCGGGUUGUAAAGCACUUUUGGCAGGGAAGAAAAGGUGCCGGUGAAUACCCGGCGCCGCUGACGGUACCUGCAGAAUAAGCACCGGCUAACUACGUGCCAGCAGCCGCGGUAAUACGUAGGGUGCAAGCGUUAAUCGGAAUUACUGGGCGUAAAGCGUGCGCAGGCGGCUCGGAAAGAAAGAUGUGAAAUCCCAGGGCUUAACCUUGGAAUGGCAUUUUUAACUCCCGAGCUAGAGUAUGUCAGAGGGGGGUAGAAUUCCACGUGUAGCAGUGAAAUGCGUAGAGAUGUGGAGGAAUACCGAUGGCGAAGGCAGCCCC